GACGAACGCUGGCGGCGAGCUUAACACAUGCAAGUCGAACGGAAAGGCCUCUUUCGGGGGGUACUCGAGUGGCGAACGGGUGAGUAACACGUGAGUAACCUGCCCUUGACUUUGGGAUAACUUCAGGAAACUGGGGCUAAUACCGGAUAGGAGCUCCUGCUGCAUGGUGGGGGUUGGAAAGGUUCGGCGGUUGGGGAUGGACUCGCGGCUUAUCAGCUUGUUGGUGGGGUAGUGGCUUACCAAGGCUUUGACGGGUAGCCGGCCUGAGAGGGUGACCGGCCACAUUGGGACUGAGAUACGGCCCAGACUCCUACGGGAGGCAGCAGUGGGGAAUAUUGCACAAUGGGUGGAAGCCUGAUGCAGCAACGCCGUGUGCGGGAUGACGGCCUUCGGGUUGGAAACCGCUUUCGCUCAUGACGAAGCUUUGUGUGACGGUAGUGGGUAAAGAAGCACCGGCUAACUACGUG
rnacentral:rRNA from 1 species